rnacentral:rRNA from 1 species
GACGGGUACGGGUUGUGGAAGCAAGAGCCCGGAGAUGGAUUCUGAGACAUGAAUCCAGGCCCUACGGGGCGCAGCAUGCGCGAAAACUUUACAAUGCGGGAAACCGUGAUAAGGGAACACUGAGUGCUAGCAUUUAUGUUACGCUGUCCACAUGUGUAAAUAGCAUGUGAUAGCAAGGGCUGG